AUGAAUGCUGGCGGCGUGCCUAAUACAUGCAAGUCGAGCGCACAGACGAGGAGCUUGCUCCUCUGACGUUAGCGGCGGACGGGUGAGUAACACGUGGAUAACCUACCUAUAAGACUGGGAUAACUUCGGGAAACCGGAGCUAAUACCGGAUAAUAUAUUGAACCGCAUGGUUCAAUAGUGAAAGACGGUUUUGCUGUCACUUAUAGAUGGAUCCGCGCCGCAUUAGCUAGUUGGUAAGGUAACGGCUUACCAAGGCAACGAUGCGUAGCCGACCUGAGAGGGUGAUCGGCCACACUGGAACUGAGACACGGUCCAGACUCCUACGGGAGGCAGCAGUAGGGAAUCUUCCGCAAUGGGCGAAAGCUUGACGGAGCAACGCCGCGUGAGUGAUGAAGGUCUUCGGAUCGUAAAACUCUGUUAUUAGGGAAGAACAAAUGUGUAAGUAACUAUGCACGUCUUGACGGUACCUAAUCAGAAAGCCACGGCUAACUACGUG
rnacentral:rRNA from 1 species